UGUGGAUGAAGUUUGGUCUGAGAUGCAUAGGAAGCAGGAGCAGGAGCAGGAGCUACAGAACCAAGGACAGGGCCACAGUAAUGGUAAUAAUAUGCAGAAUAAUCCUGAGUCUGCAGCUCCUUGGCAGCCAACUUUUGGUGAGAUGACAUUGGAGGAUUUUCUGAUCAAGGCAGGGGUGGUAAGGCAGCAGUGUCCUGCAGCUUCAGUACCACGGCAACAACAGCAGUACGGGAUGUACCAAAGCAACAAUAACAAACCUGUCAUGGGGAUUUCCAGGCCGGUUUUGGGAAUUGGCAGCGGAAGUGGUGUGGGUGCUGUUAGUUACCAGACAAUG
rnacentral:misc_RNA from 1 species